rnacentral:rRNA from 1 species
UACGUAGGGGGCGAGCGUUGUCCGGAUUCAUUGGGCGUAAAGCGCGCGCAGGCGGUGGCGUGAGCCCGGCGUGAAAGCCCCCAGCUCAACUGGGGGAGGCCGUCGGAGACCGCGGCACUUGAGGCCGGUAGGGGAGAGCGGAAUUCCCGGUGUAGUGGUGGAAUGCGUAGAGAUCGGGAGGAACAUCAGUGGCGAAGGCGGCCAUCUGGGACAACACUGACGCUGAAGCACGAAAGCGUGGGGAGCAAACAGG